rnacentral:rRNA from 1 species
AGUGAACGCUGGCGGUAGGCCUAACACAUGCAAGUCGAACGAGUGGCGGACGGGUGAGGAAUGUCUCGGAAACUGCCCUGUGGUGGGGGAUAACGACUGGAAACGGAAGCUAAUACCGCAUACUAUCAGAUGUGCCCAGGUUGGAUUAGCUAGUUGGUGGGGUAAAGGCGUACCAAGGCGACGAUCCGUAGCUGGUCUGAGAGGAUGACCAGCUACACUGGAACGGAGACACGGUCCAGACUCCUACGGGAGGCAGCAGUGGGGAAUAUUGGACAAUGGGCGAAAGCCUGAUGCAGCCAUGCCGCGUGUGUGAAGAAGGCCUUCGGGUUGUAAAGCACUUUCAGUUGGGAGGCGUUACCCGCAGAAUAAGCACCGGCUAACUUCGUGCCAGCAGCCGCGGUAAUUC